rnacentral:misc_RNA from 1 species
CUGGUUAUUGUAAAUAAAUACAAUAAGUGUUUAAGAAUGGUUUUGCAUAAAAAAAAAUUCCAAACAAGUCGUUUUAUCUUUUAAAAUAUUUAAAUCUUUGUCGUAAACACAGAAUAAGCCACAGCGAAUAUUUUACAAAAUGAUUUAUUAUUGAAUAACGUUUAUUACUUAUUUGAAAGAACCGAGAAUAUGGAAUAACAGUUGAGGUGUAUUCCGUCAAUCUGGUGAGAAGAUGGCUGAAAGUCAAGAUGUAAGUGCUAGUACAGAUAUCGCAGAAGUGUUAAAUGCAGCCGAAGAAGAGUUGGAUGCUCAAGAAUUUGAUUUACCUCCUGUAGAAACUCCUCCGACUUUAGAAAGCAUUCUUAAUGCACCUGAUGAUGAUGAUGAACUUCUGUUGGAAGAUGAGGAACUUGGUUCCUUGUCCCAACUGUACAAAGGGGAUUCUGUGGAGACGUCCUCCAUGUCCAGUCAGGACAGUCUCAUCUCCGAUCGACCCAGACAAAGGACAGCAGCCAAAAGACAAAGUAGUUCUGAAGCCCAUGGCACCGUGCUAAAACCGAGUAAACUGAAAAAUAUUUCAGCUCAGCUGAAGUCUGCUGCAAACAGAGUGGAUGCUGGGAAGCCAUCAGCAAUAGCUGUGGCAUCCCUUAUAGCAAUUGGGACAUCCCAUGGCAUUGUACUAGUUUUCGAUCCACGCCAGGUAUUGAAAUGGUGUCUAGGAAGUACAGCUGUUGGGGCCCAGUAUGGAUCAGUGUCAGCUCUCAGUUUCAACAGAGAUUGUUCUCGAUUGCUCUGUGGCUUUGCUAAAGGCCAGAUUACCAUGUGGGAUUUAACAAAUGGAAAAUUACUCCGGACCAUCACUGAUGCUCACCCACCUGGAACUGCUGUUCUACAUGUUAAAUUCACUGACAGCCCUGUGAUUGCUGUGUGCAGUGACAGUGGAGGGUCUGUGUUUGAACUGGAAUUCAAGAGGUUGAUCGGGGUGAGGACCUGUGAAUCGAAGUGCCUGUUUUCAGGAAGUCGAGGAGAAGUGUGUGUCAUAGAACCACUACACAUGAAUUAUACCAUACAGGACCAUCCCAUGCAUGAUGUUAUGAUUCUGGCCAUGGCAUCUUUGUCCAAGGUAUUAAUUGUGACUCUGAGACCUCAGCUGAAGAUAAUGUUCACUCAUCCAUUAAAGGGUGAUUCUUCCACUCUGCCACUUCUUGCCUGGCAGUUUGUCAUCAUCCAAAUCUCUGAAAGUGACCGUGUCAUCGAUCCAGUGUUGGCAUUCGCUCGAGAUAGCACCAUCUACUUCUACCAGGUAAAAGAAUAUCUACUUAAGACUCAUCAUUCCCUAGCAAGUAGAUUCAAGACCACAGAGGGUUCCGAGAUGGUGAUAUGCAAUAAUGCCCAAGAUAUCCGCUGUUCAGGUUUGCAGAAAAUGGAACUACCUUACAAACUUCUUUCGAUAACUUGGAUGAACCCAAGGACACUAGUUACAUUGGACACUACAGAAAAGAUUCAUGUUAUAGAUGUGAAGUCCGAAGAAGAGUUAGAAAUCGUUGACAUUGCUGAUGUCCAACUGGUUUAUGGAUCUAGUCACUUCAAGUCUUUAGCAACAGGAGGAAACGUCAGUGAAGCUCUGGCAUUUGCUGGUGAACAAGCGUGUUAUCAGUCUGUGGUCAGCCAUGGUGGUCAGCUGUUUCUACUAGGAACUGAAUCUGUUACAGUCUUUUCUGUGAGGUCAUGGAUGGAGAGAAUUGAGGUCCUUGUGAAACAGAACAAAUACAGAAGUGCCCUUGCUUUGGCUCUGUCCUUCUAUGAAGGAAAGGCUAAAGCUGUUGUUGGACUGGUCGGUUCUUCUAGAAAACGAAAAGGCAUUGUGAAAGAUUUAAUGUUGAAUCUGUUGUUUGAAUUUGUGGAUUUAUCAAUGACUCAGUUUUGUCCUGAAAAGGGGAAAAUUGAAACUUUGGAAGACUAUUACCAGGGUAUCGUUCCAGUGUGUGUAGACUAUUGCCUAUGCUUGGAAUGUGUUGAUAUAUUAUUUGGUCGAAUUUACGAUCGUUUCGGAAUGGAUGUAAUUGCAAAAGACACGUUCUUAGAGUGCCUGGAACCAUACAUUCUUGAUGACAAACUCAGUUCCAUCCCACCGACCGUUAUGAAGGAUUUCGUUGAGCAUUACGAAGGCAAAGGAAUGCUGGAGAGUGUGGAAGCGUGCAUCGUCCACCUUGAAGUGACCACGUUGGAUAUACACCACAUUGUCCAUCUCUGUUGGAACCAUGGUUUAUACGAUGCCAUAAUUUAUGUCUACAACAAGGGAAUGAAUGAUUACACCACCCCACUUGAAGAAUUAUUGAUUUUACUGGAAGCAGCUAUUAACACUGGUAAACAACUGACUGAUGAUCAAAUCAAACUUGGAAAUAAACUUCUUGUCUAUAUCAGCUAUUGUUUAGCUGGUCGUGGUUAUCCACUCGGAGAUAUUCCAGAAGAAUUUAUCCCAGAAGUCAAAGAACAGGUCUUCAAAUGUGUCAGCUGUUUGCACCGGACCAAGUCAAAAGAAAAUGAACCAGCUUAUCCUCACCUGAGAACUCUUCUUCAGUUUGAUACAAUAGAAUUCCUCAAUGUCUUGGCAUUGGCUUUCGAAGAACCGGAAUUCAAUACAGAUGAAGGGAUCCAGAAACGCCAGAGAGUGAUUGACAUCCUAUUACAGGUGAUGGUUGAAAGUGUUGGAUUCAAUCCCAGUCAAAUUGGAACGCUGUUCACAUUCCUCGCACGACAGAUGGCAAGACACGAAAACACCAUCCUAGUGAACCGUGUCCUAUUUGAGCAAGUUCUAGAGUUCCUGUCGAACCCAGACGAGGCGACACGUCACGAAGAGAGACAACAGGCCAUGAUGGAGUUACUAAUGGUUGGCGGCUUGAGCAUAUUUAGCGACCAACGUCUUUUGCAACUUGCUGAAAAUGCCAAAUUUUACCGAGUUUGUGAGUUUGUCUAUGAGAAGAACCACCAUUACGACAAAAUUCUUGUUUGUCACUUAAAAGACUACACCAGGCGGCAUAUGGUAUUUCCUUAUAUUAACCGCAUCCUUCAUGGAGAUGGCUAUAGUGCUGCUGAGAAAGAGUCUGUUAAAGUUGCUGCUCUUGAGAACUUAAUUGAUUUAGUGAACAUAGACUGUAAGAAAGCAGCCAAAGUAGUCAUCUUCAGUUUGUCUUGUAAUCUCAGUGAUGUGGUGGAACAACUGAGGAACAAACCAAGAAUACUCUAUGAUUUUUUACAAGGAGUACUUUCAUACAAGGAAUCGGUUGGAAACCAUGUCAACCCAGACAAGCAAGUCACCAUAGAACCAAUCAUCUAUGAACUCUACAUUGACCUCCAGUGCCAGUUCCAUACCAGUAAUGUGUACAACUUCAUCAAGAAUGUCGAUGGAUACCGGCUGGAGGAAACUCUCAAGAUCAUAAACAAAUAUGACAUACCCUGUGCUUCUGCCCACAUCUUGGAGAAAAUGGGAGAUAUCCUUGGAGCAUUCAACAUAAUGUUAGCAACUUUGAAUAAAAAGGUCCACACAUUUACGGAUGCAAUUCUUUCAAAGAAACCAACCAAAGCGGAGGCAGUUAUUCAGCUCCAAGAAGUUCAAGCCAGUCUGUUAGUGGUGAUCCAACUUUGUCAAAGAAACUCUGGGAAAAUGGAUGAAGGGAGUCGAGAGGCCAUGUGGUUCCCGUUGUUAGAAUCUAUGAUGGCCCCUCAGAGAAAACUUAAAGACUUGGAUGACCGAGAAAUAAUUACAGACAUUCAGGAGUUGACUCACCAUAUUCUCAACAGUAUGAUGGGAUACAUAGCUUUGCCUUCUAUUUUACAGAAGAUUAUGCAGGACCCAGCAUACAACACUGGCAAGUUUGGUGAAGUGAAAGAAUUAAUCUUGGGAAUGUUAGAAACAUACAAUUAUGAAGAGACAUUGAUGAAAACCUGCAAGAACCUGCUGCAUCAUGAUCUCCACCUACACUUGAGGCGUCUGAGGUCCGAGGCUGUGAAGGGCUUCAUGCCCUGCACCGAACACUGCAGCCUGUGCAACAAGACACUGUCCCAUGCUGCCGAUGCCGACCUCCUACUUAUAUUCAGAUGUGGCCAUAGUUACCACACGAGCUGCCUGCGUGGAAUUGGUUCGUUACACGUAAUUGAUGGUGAAGAUUAUUGGAGCUGUUAUUUAUGCAGUAACUCAAAGAAAAAAGGUCGUACUCAGAGUACACGUUUCCACAGAGCCUCCACCUUGAGCUCAGUUGCUGCUCAGUCUAGUCAUGGUGGGGCCCUGGCAACACAGUCCAAAGAGGAAUAUAUUGACCCUCAGCAUGCUGAAGCCUUUGAAAAUUUACGGAAAUCCAUGAAAACCCCUUCAAGGUUGGCCAUUUUGACAGAACUCUCAAAGAAUCCCACUUCUCAAACAGCCAUGAAACGAACAAGCAGCAUUCUGAAAAACGAAAAUUUCAACCUUCGUCUUGCCCCACCGAGGUCCGAGAUUUACUUCUAGAAAAACAAGAACAAGAAAAUAUUAUAAUAAUAAUAAUAAUAAUAAAAAAAAUGAACUGUAAUAUAACUUUCGUAUUGUAACAUACAGCUCACAUAUAUUAAGAAACAAAAAGAAACUAAAUAAGAACAAAUAAAUGAUACCAAAAAAUUUUUUUUAAAUAAACUCGUUAACAUUUAUAGAUUGAUUGGGGGUGGGAGGCAGUGUUGCAGUUGAAUACAUCGAAUCCAGUAUAUUACUGGUAUUUUAAAUUUUAUCAACUGCAGAACUAUUAGAGAGUUCACCCCCUAUCAAAGGGAUGAAACUAAACGUUGCACAGCAUUUUGUCCGAUGCUCUACUGAUUCUACAAACCCACCACAAAAACAUUUGUAUAUUUUUCAUAGUGAAACAUGGACAUAUGAAUGGCAGUGGAACUAAGGCGUUUGCUUUGCAACUGUGUAGUUCUGGGGUCAGUCCCACUGCAUGGCAGCAUAGGAGUAUGCCUAAGUCUUCUACUAUACGGUCAGGUUGACAAAUGCCUUGGGAUUAAAAUUUCAUAAAUGGAAACUGUACUGAAGCUCAUCAUAUAUAUAUAUAUAUAUAUAUAUAUAUAUAUAUACGUGUGUGCAUAUAUGUAUGUGUGUACAUAUAUAUAUGUGUGUAUAUAUAUAUAGUAGCAGCAUUAUUUAAUGUUCCUGUUCCAUGCUGGCAUGGCUGUGGAGUAGGUGGGGUUGACAGUUUAACAGGAUUUGAUGGGCCCAGGUACUGCACUGUAUUCUAGUGUCUGCUUAAGCAGAUUUUCCACAGUUGGAUGCCCUUCCUAAUGCUAACCCCUUGACAGCAUGUAGUGGGUGCUUGUUUAUGUGCUCCUGGCACUAGUGAGGUUGCCUGAAGCUUGCAAGGCCAUGAAGCCUGAAAGACAACUUUAUGUUAGGAGAUAGGGGCCAAAGGAUCGGUAAAAGUGAGUAUAUGUGUGUGCAAAGCUGUAAAAUCAGUGCAUGGAACAAAAUGUAAUUUGUUGUAUUGAGUCCAACCCAUGCUAGCAUGGAAAGCAGACGUCAAAUGCAGAUGAUGAUGAUGAAGUCAUUAUCAGAGACUAAUUCUGGAAGGUUGUGUUCUAGAAAUGGCUGUAGUCUAAUGACUGCCUCCACUAAAAGAAUGCCUGCACAAAAACCACACACACACACACACACACACAUAUGCAUAGACAUUACAUAAAAAAAAACAACCCAACAACAAACCAAAAACAAUGUGGCUUCUUUGAUGGUAAAACAGAAGCUGUUUCGACCUGUGAUAAAAAGAAAAAAUAAUUUUGUAAAUGAAUUAAUUAUUGCUUCGUUAGUUAUCCUGUCUCAUUCAUUGGUCCUCAUUGCAGGUGUGUGUGUGUGUGUGUAUUGAUGAUGAUGAUGAUGAUGAUGGCUAAAUGUAAUAAGAUAAUGAAGUACCUGCUCUCUCUCUCUCAUUGGCUCAUUAGUUAAUUCAAAUCUACUGCUGUCGUUUCAUGGCAUUUUCUUUCCAUUUUUGGGGGGACAGUUUGAACAUAGAUAAAACAAGCUGAAUACUUGGGCCGGAUGGGGCCAGUUUAAAUGUUAAAUGGUUAAUGGCAUCAAUCUCACAGAUCUAAGAAGGUCCUGCACAAUAGCCAUGACCAUUGCCUCUCCUUCCAAGCCCAUCCAGCAAAGAAAAAAGGAUAAAAUCAAAAAUUUAUUCUGUUUGGAAACUUGAAACAGCUCAGCUGAGUGAUUUAACACUGAAGUAGACUAGCUUCAUAUCCAGGGGUGGAAAGAUUUAUUUAUCCUAAAUGGAUUACCAUUAGGCACCAAGCAGUCAUGUCAGCAGAUUCUGCUAAAGGCUACCCAGGUACCGAAUGGCUAUAUUAAGUGAAGUGAUAGAUUACAACUACCACUACCAUCUCACCAAAGGGCUGGUCGGUGCAGUGUAUCAAUUUUACAAGCUUCUGCACAGUUUCCAUCUACAUAAGGUUUUCCUCAAGACAAGGAAUGCUUUGUCCAAAACCUAUGAUAGUAAACAAUAUCUGCUUAAUAUGACUCAUUGUGGAUUUGAACCUAGAACCAACGGUUUUGUGAAACAAGCUUCUUAACCAUUUGGCCAUGCAUUCUUCACCUCUGCUCAGCUGACAAACAAGUUCCUUUCUCCCCCACUCCUAAAGGGUUAAAUUAACCCUUUAGCAUUAUUUUAUUUAACCCUUUAACAUUUAUGGUCAAACUAACCAGAGAUGGCCUCUCACACCUACCCUACAAUAUCAUUCUAAAAAGUUAAACAAUCACAUCAUUGAAAUCUGAAAGCUACAAGAUAUUGCAUGAUUCAUUCAAAACCAUGUGAAUAAAUAAACGCUUGACAGAGUUAUUGAGUGUGAAAGGGUUAAAGACAAGAAUUUGAUUUCGUAAAUAGCAACAUAAUUUCAAUGAUAUGAAAUGAAAUAACUGCAUAUGAAAAAGUUCAAGUUGUUUUUCUUUCAAAACAUCCAUCUAAGAUACUGUUUUAAUUAGCUUCACAAUGCCUCACUACAUUAAUUAUGCUAAUUACAUUUACUUUAUUAUUUUUCCAUGCAGAUGGCGCCUCUGAGUAAUCUCCCUCAGUGAAUAAAUUAUUUUUUCUUUUCUUUUUUAAAUUUGCUAAUUUUUCAUGCUUAAUUAAGUACAUUUAAAUAAUUACUUACUCAAUGAUUCGCUUGUUAUUGGAUAUGUACAGGAAAGUUGUAUGCUUUGCUUGUCGCAGUUAAAAUGCCUUGACAGCAGUGGUGGAGGUGAUGGUGGUGGCAGUGGUGGUGGUGUAAUUCACUUUGAGGGUGGCUGAAUAACUUCAGCUCAAAUUUACUUAGGAUUUGAAACUUCCUGGAGGAGGGGAAGGAAAGGAACAUUUGUCCAUGAGGAACUUAACUGCAUCCCAGACAAGUUUGGUAGAGUAAUUAAAUUGACAUCCUGUUUGGAAUACGGUUCCACAGCAAAAAUGGUCGCUGCUCCACUGGAACCAUCUUUCCUCUGACAAGACACUCUACACGGUUCCGUCUGAGAAUAGACACCCUUCUCACCAGAGAGAAAAGCCAGAAAUUCCAAGGGAAAUUGCAAGUUCAUUACAUCCACAACCCCAGUAUGCAGCUGGUACUUUGUUAUUGGCCCUAAAAGACUGAAAGGCAAAGUCCACCUUGGUGGAAUUUGUACCCAGGACAUUAAUGCUGAAGAAAUGCUGCUAAGCAUCUCAUCUGACUCAUUAACGAUUCUGCUGCCUUAACGAUUAUGAUUCUUUCUACUAGAGGUACAGGGUUUGAAGUUUGCGAGGAGGCUAGUUGACUUCACUGACCCUCCCAGUGUUUCACUGGUACUUUAUUUUAUCCCCAAAAGGAUAAGAAGGCAAAGCUGACCUUGGUGGAAUUUGAACCUGGAACACAAAGAGCUGGGAGAAAUGCCAUCUUACCUGGCUCUCAGUGACUCUACCACUUCAUCGCAGUAUCUCCGGGUCAAGUUAUGAAACUUUUACAUAGUCACAUCUUUGCCUGAUCAUGCCUGAUCAGAACUUACAUCAUAAGAGGGGGGGAUGGGCAAGGAAGGAGUGGAAAGACUAUUCUGCAGUUGAAAUUAAUUAUUGUAAUUACUGAACAGAAAUGACAACGUUUGUGAAGCUUAAUAAUGUAAAUACGAAGUAAUUAAAUAAGGUUAAACCCGUCUCAGAAUAAAGAAUAAAAGUUUC